rnacentral:rRNA from 1 species
CCUACGGGGUGCAGCAGUAGGGAAUUUUCGUCAAUGGGCGCAAGCCUGAACGAGCAAUGCCGCGUGAACGAGGAAGGUCUUCGGAUCGUAAAGUUCUGUUGAAGGGGAAAAAGAGCGGAGAGAGGAAAUGGUCUCCGAUUGAUAUUACCCUUCGAGGAAGUCACGGCUAACUACGUGCCAGCAGCCGCGGUAAUACGUAGGUGGCGAGCGUUAUCCGGAAUGAUUGGGCGUAAAGGGUGCGUAGGCGGCCUGCGAAGUCUGGAGUGAAAGGUACCGGCUCAACCGGUACAGGCUCUGGAAACUGGCGGGCUAGAGAGCAGGAGAGGGCGGUGGAACUCCAUGUGUAGCGGUAAAAUGCGUAGAUAUAUGGAAGAACACCAGUGGCGAAGGCGGCCGCCUGGCCUGUUACUGACGCUGAGGCACGAAAGCGUGGGGAGCAAAUAGGAUUAGAUACCCCAGUAGUC